rnacentral:rRNA from 1 species
AUACGGAGGGUGCGAGCAUUAAUCGGAUUUACUGGGCGUAAAGAGCGCGUAGGCGGGGAUGAAAGUCAGAUGUGAAAGCCCGAAACUCAACUUCGGAACGGCAUCCGAAACUUCAUCUCUUGAGGAUAGGCGGAGAAAGUGGAAUUCCACGAGUAGCGGUGAAAUGCGUAGAUACGUGGAAGAACACCGGUGGCGAAGGCGACUUUCUAGCUUAUUACUGACGCUGAGGCGCGAAAGCAAGGGUAGCAAACAGGAUUAGAAACCCCGGUAGUCC